ACAGAGGGUGCGAGCGUUGUCCGGAAUCACUGGGCGUAAAGGGCGCGUAGGCGGCCUGGUAAGGUCGCGGUGAAAGCCCGGGGCUCAACCCCGGGUCGGCCGUGGCAACUGCGAGGCUUGAGCACAGUAGAGGCGGGUGGAAUUCCGGGUGUAGCGGUGGAAUGCGUAGAGAUCCGGAAGAACACCGGUGGCGAAGGCGGCUUUCUGGACGACAACUGACGCUGAGACGCGAAAGCGUGGGGAGCAAACAGGA
rnacentral:rRNA from 1 species